UGUCCGGAUUUAUUGGGUUUAAAGGGUGCGUAGGUGGUCUAUUAAGUCAGUGCUGAAAUAUCCCGGCUUAACCGGGAGGGUGGCAUUGAUACUGAUGGACUUGAGUAAAGUUGAGGUAGGCGGAAUUGACGGUGUAGCGGUGAAAUGCUUAGAUAUCGUCAAGAACACCUAUUGCGAAGGCAGCUUACUAAGCUUUAACUGACACUGAUGCACGAAAGUGUGGGGAGCAAACAGG
rnacentral:rRNA from 1 species